UACGAAGGGGGCUAGCGUUGCUCGGAAUCACUGGGCGUAAAGCGCACGUAGGCGGCUUGUUAAGUCAGGGGUGAAAUCCUGGAGCUCAACUCCAGAACUGCCUUUGAUACUGGCAAGCUUGGAGUCCGGGAGAGGUGAGUGGAACUGCCGGGGUGUAGAGGUGAAAUUCGUAGAUAUUCGCAAGAACACCAGUGGCGAAGGCGGCUCACUGGUCCGGUACUGACGCUGAGGUGCGAAAGCGUGGGGAGCAACAGG
rnacentral:rRNA from 1 species